GACGAACGCUGGCGGCGUGCCUAAUACAUGCAAGUAGAACGCUGAAGUCUGGUGCUUGCACUAGACGGAUGAGUUGCGAACGGGUGAGUAACGCGUAGGUAACCUGCCUCAUAGCGGGGGAUAACUAUUGGAAACGAUAGCUAAUACCGCAUAACAGUAUUUACUGCAUGGUAGAUACUUGAAAGGAGCAAUUGCUUCACUAUGAGAUGGACCUGCGUUGUAUUAGCUAGUUGGUGAGGUAACGGCUCACCAAGGCAUCGAUACAUAGCCGACCUGAGAGGGUGAUCGGCCACACUGGGACUGAGACACGGCCCAGACUCCUACGGGAGGCAGCAGUAGGGAAUCUUCGGCAAUGGGGGCAACCCUGACCGAGCAACGCCGCGUGAGUGAAGAAGGUUUUCGGAUCGUAAAGCUCUGUUGUAAGAGAAGAACUGUGAGAAGAGUGGAAAGUUUCUCACUUGACGGUAUCUUACCAGAAAGGGACGGCUAACUACGUGCCAGCAGCCGCGGUAAUACGUAGGUCCCGAGCGUUGUCCGGAUUUAUUGGGCGUAAAGCGAGCGCAGGCGGUUUGAUAAGUCUGAAGUAAAAGGCUGUGGCUUAACCAUAGUACGCUUUGGAAACUGUCAAACUUGAGUGCAGAAGGGGAGAGUGGAAUUCCAUGUGUAGCGGUGAAAUGCGUAGAUAUAUGGAGGAACACCGGUGGCGAAAGCGGCUCUCUGGUCUGUAACUGACGCUGAGGCUCGAAAGCGUGGGGAGCGAACAGGAUUAGAUACCCUGGUAGUCCACGCCGUAAACGAUGAGUGCUAGGUGUUGGGUCCUUUCCGGGACUCAGUGCCGCAGCUAACGCAUUAAGCACUCCGCCUGGGGAGUACGACCGCAAGGUUGAAACUCAAAGGAAUUGACGGGGGCCCGCACAAGCGGUGGAGCAUGUGGUUUAAUUCGAAGCAACGCGAAGAACCUUACCAGGUCUUGACAUCCCGAUGACCACCCUAGAGAUAGGGUUUCUCUUCGGAGCAUCGGUGACAGGUGGUGCAUGGUUGUCGUCAGCUCGUGUCGUGAGAUGUUGGGUUAAGUCCCGCAACGAGCGCAACCCCUAUUGUUAGUUGCCAUCAUUCAGUUGGGCACUCUAGCGAGACUGCCGGUAAUAAACCGGAGGAAGGUGGGGAUGACGUCAAAUCAUCAUGCCCCUUAUGACCUGGGCUACACACGUGCUACAAUGGCUGGUACAACGAGUCGCAAGUCGGUGACGGCAAGCUAAUCUCUUAAAGCCAGUCUCAGUUCGGAUUGUAGGCUGCAACUCGCCUACAUGAAGUCGGAAUCGCUAGUAAUCGCGGAUCAGCACGCCGCGGUGAAUACGUUCCCGGGCCUUGUACACACCGCCCGUCACACCACGAGAGUUUGUAACACCCGAAGUCGGUGAGGUAACCUUUUAGGAGCCAGCCGCCUAAGGUGGGAUAGAUGAUUGGGGUGAAGUCGUAACAAGGUAGCCGUAUCGGAAGGUGC
rnacentral:rRNA from 1 species